GACAGAGGGUGCAAACGUUGUUCGGAACUACUGGGCGUAAAGCGCGUGUAGGCGGCUCGGAAAGUCGGAUGUGAAAGCCCUGGGCUCAACCUAGGAAGUGCAUUCGAAACUCCCGAGCUUGAGUUCUGGAGAGGAAGGCGGAAUUCUCGGUGUAGAGGUGAAAUUCGUAGAUAUCGAGAGGAACACCGGUGGCGAAGGCGGCCUUCUGGACAGUGACUGACGCUGAGACGCGAAAGCGUGGGGAGCAAACAGG
rnacentral:rRNA from 1 species